rnacentral:misc_RNA from 1 species
UUUCCGUAGGUGAACCUGCGGAAGGAUCAUUAUUGAUUAACGUAGGUGCGAGGGCUUUCGUUGACCCCAAAGUUGGGUCACGCCCGAGUCCCCUCCCACACAUCCACCGCCCCACAAUAUCCACCACCGCGAGUGUCCCCCUGUGGCCUAUUCGGAGGGGGCCUUACGUUUACACCCAUCCUCUACAGACAUUGUAGAAUGUGUUUUUUGUUUUUGCGAUGCAGAAAUCAAGACAACUUUCCACAACGGAUCUCUUGCCUCUCGCAUCGAUAAAGAACC